rnacentral:rRNA from 1 species
CAAAAGUUUGGUCCCGACUUUACUGUCAGCUCCAGCUAAACUUACACAUGCAAGUAUCCGCACCCCCGUGAGAAUGCCCUUACAGUUCCCCGCGCGGGAGCAAGGAGCUGGUAUCAGGCACAAACAUUUUUUAGCCCAUAACGCCUUGCUCAGCCACACCCUCAAGGGAAUUCAGCAGUGAUAAAUAUUAAGCAAUAAGUGAAAACUUGACUUAGUUAAAGCUAAGAAGGCCGGUAAAACUCGUGCCAGCCACCGCGGUUAGACGAGAGGCCUAAGUUGACAACCAUCGGCGUAAAGAGUGGUUAAGGAAAACUAAAACUAAAGCCGAAUGUUUUCAUGGCUGUUAUACGCAUCCGAAAAUAAGAAGCUCCCCUACGAAAGUGGCUUUAACCCACCUGACCCCACGAAAGCUGUGAAACAAACUGGGAUUAGAUACCCCACUAUG